AUCCUGGCUCAGAUUGAACGCUGGCGGCAGGCUUAACACAUGCAAGUCGAACGGUAACAGGCCGCAAGGUGCUGACGAGUGGCGAACGGGUGAGUAAUGCAUCGGAACGUGCCCAGUCGUGGGGGAUAACGCAGCGAAAGCUGCGCUAAUACCGCAUACGAUCUAUGGAUGAAAGCGGGGGACCGUAAGGCCUCGCGCGAUUGGAGCGGCCGAUGUCAGAUUAGGUAGUUGGUGGGGUAAAGGCUCACCAAGCCAACGAUCUGUAGCUGGUCUGAGAGGACGACCAGCCACACUGGAACUGAGACACGGUCCAGACUCCUACGGGAGGCAGCAGUGGGGAAUUUUGGACAAUGGACGCAAGUCUGAUCCAGCCAUUCCGCGUGCAGGAUGAAGGCCCUCGGGUUGUAAACUGCUUUUGUACGGAACGAAAAGGUUUCCAUUAAUACUGGGAGCUCAUGACGGUACCGUAAGAAUAAGCACCGGCUAACUACGUG
rnacentral:rRNA from 1 species